rnacentral:rRNA from 1 species
GACGAACGCUGGCGGCGUGCUUAACACAUGCAAGUCGAACGGAAAGGCCCUGCUUUUGUGGGGUGCUCGAGUGGCGAACGGGUGAGUAACACGUGAGUAACCUGCCCUUGACUUUGGGAUAACUUCAGGAAACUGGGGCUAAUACCGGAUAGGAGCUCCUGCUGCAUGGUGGGGGUUGGAAAGUUUCGGCGGUUGGGGAUGGACUCGCGGCUUAUCAGCUUGUUGGUGGGGUAGUGGCUUACCAAGGCUUUGACGGGUAGCCGGCCUGAGAGGGUGACCGGACACAUUGGGACUGAGAUGCGGCCCAGACUCCUACGGGAGGCAGCAGUGGGGAAUAUUGCACAAUGGGCGGAAGCCUGAUGCAGCAAAGCCGCGUGCGGGAUGACGGCCUUCGGGUUGUAAACCGCUUUCGCCUGUGACGAAGCGUGAGUGACGGUAAUGGGUAAAGAAGCACCGGCUAACUACGUG